AGUGAACGCUGGCGGUAGGCCUAACACAUGCAAGUCGAACGGCAGCACAGUAAGAGCUUGCUCUUACGGGUGGCGAGUGGCGGACGGGUGAGGAAUACAUCGGAAUCUACUUUUUCGUGGGGGAUAACGUAGGGAAACUUACGCUAAUACCGCAUACGACCUACGGGUGAAAGCAGGAGAUCUUCGGACCUUGCGCGAUUGAAUUAGCUGAUGUCGGAUUAGCUAGUUGGUUGGGUAAGGGCCCACCAAGGCGACGAUCCGUAGCUGGUCUGAGAGGAUGAUCAGCCACACUGGAACUGAGACACGGUCCAGACUCCUACGGGAGGCAGCAGUGGGGAAUCUUGGACAAUGGGCGCAAGCCUGAUGCAGCCAUACCGCGUGGGUGAAGAAGGCCUUCGGGUUGUAAAGCCCUUUUGUUGGGAAAGAAAAGCAGCAGGUUAAUCCCCCGCUGUUCUGACGGUACCCAAAGAAUAAGCACCGGCUAACUUCGUG
rnacentral:rRNA from 1 species